AUGGCUCAGGAUGAACGCUAGCGGCAGGCCUAAUACAUGCAAGUCGAACGCUCAGUAGCAAUACUGGGAGUGGCGCACGGGUGCGUAACGCGUACACAAUCUACCUCUAAGCGGGGGACACCUCCUGGAAACGGGGAUUAAUACCGCAUAAUAUGCCGAGGUCGCAUGACUUUGGUAUUAAAGCAGCAAUGCACUUAGAGAUGAGUGUGCGUCCCAUUAGGUAGUUGGUGAGGUAACGGCUCACCAAGCCUAUGAUGGGUAGCCGGUCUGAGAGGAUGGUCGGCCACACGGGCACUGAGACACGGGCCCGACUCCUACGGGAGGCAGCAGUAAGGAAUAUUGGUCAAUGGUGGAAACACUGAACCAGCCAUGCCGCGUGGAGGAAUAAGGUCCUACGGAUUGUAAACUCCUUUUGACGAGGAAGAAAGUGUUAGAUUUAUCUAAUUUUGACGGUACUCGUAGAAUAAGCACCGGCUAACUCCGUG
rnacentral:rRNA from 1 species